rnacentral:rRNA from 1 species
AUGGACAAAAAAGGCAAAUCCAAGGCCAUUGACGAUUACGUGGGAACGACAUCCCAUUUCCAUCGUGGCAGCGGGAUAGACAGCGGCAAAGAGAUAUGGGAGGACGAUGCUGCUACCAUUGCUCUUGGCGGCCGUCAACGUGAACGGAGCCUUUUCCUCAGCUUCUUAGAUAAACAGGAUGAUCCAAAGAGCGAAGAAGAGUCUACUGUACACAAUCAGAAGUUGCCCCAAAUUGGUGACACAUACAUAUAUCCAUUUCAGCCUGUGAACUCUUCUGCCUCUACUUCAAAUAGUGUUGUCAAGGAUUAUACUGAGCUACAAUCCCAAAUUCCACUACCGAAUAUGGAUGUCAUUGAAGAUUUGCGUGCACAAUCAUCAUCAUCUUCUUCAAGGAUUGUGCCUAGUAAUUUUGCUAAUAUGAUGGCGAUACAGGAGGCAUGUCUUCGUGCAUUGAUUGACCCAAAUCAGGAAUUAUCCUGCAGACUAUGGCGUCAGUCCCCUGAGGCUUUGAAGAAUCACUACGCUCUCGAUGUUGAGAUGGCAUGUUUUGGAGGGCAUGUGCCAAAUAUAAAUGCUCCUGGAAAUUCUGAGUUCAAUAUACUUCUUUGGCUAAUCAAGAAUCCAGUAAACCAAUCUAUGCGGCUCAUUAAUGUCAAGGGUCACGUGCCUUCUCUCAGUGCUGACCCAAUUGGGAGCUGCUUUAUACGACAGAAACUUGACGAAGCAACUACUGGAGAGAUAGUCAUGCUAUAUAAAGAAAUCACGCCUCACGUCCUUACACUGACCACUAAUGCCUUUCCCACUUAUGUUAUCCAAAAGCUUCUUGAGCAUGGACCACGAGUCUACUUCAGGAUACUAAUUGCUAAUCUAAUGGGGCAUGUGUUAGACCUAAGCCUUCAUCUCUAUGCUUGUCAGGUGAUCCAGAAGGCUUUUGAAAUAAGCGACAUUGAUCAAUAAAUAGAGAUGGCCAAGGAGCUUGAAAGCAACCUAUUCAAAUGUAUCUAUGAUCAACAUGCAAACCAUGUCGUUCAAAAAUGCAUGGAGUGUGUGCAGCCACAAUAUAUCCAAUUCAUCUAUAAACGGUUAUGUGGUAGGGCCAAGAUGUUAUCCACACAUCCUUAUGGAUGCCAUGUGGUUCAGAAAAUGCUGGAGUUCUGCAAGGAUCCUCAAAUUAUGGACUUGUUUAUCACGAAGAUUCUCGAUUGUGUAAAGGAGCUGUCGGUAGACCCAUAUGGAAACUACGUUGUGCAAUACAUUGUGGAACAUGGAGGAUCUCGUCAUCGACAAAUUAUUAUGUUGAAAUUUGUUGGUAGCAUACUACAGAUGAGCCACCAGAAGCACUCUUCCAAAGUCAUUGAGAAGUGCCUAAUCUAUGCCAGCUACCACGAUUGCAAGCUUGUCAUAAAUGAGAUCCUUUCUGCAGGUGGUGGUCAAACUGCAGAUCAUCUCGUGGGCAUGAUAAUACACCAGUAUGCAAACUGUGUGGUGCGGCAGAUGAUUGAUGUGGUGAACGAUUGGCAGAUCAACAUGAUAGUGGAUGUGCUGACACACAACAGGGACACUUUGGUCAUGUACGCCCAUGGGAGGCAGGUCAUUGCGCAGGUCGAGCGGCUCCUCAACGGCAUGGCACCGUCCCCCGACUCCUUUGGGCAAACAUCGUCGUCGUCUUAG